rnacentral:tRNA from 1 species
UCUAAUAUGGCAGAUUAGUGCACUGAGUUUAAGCCUCAAAUAUGAGACACCUAAAUCUCUUUUAGAA